AUACGUAGGUGGCGAGCGUUAUCCGGAAUUACUGGGUGUAAAGGGCGCGCAGGCGGGGAUGCAAGUCAGAUGUGAAAUACCGGUGCUUAACACCGGGGCUGCAUCUGAAACUGUGUUUCUUGAGUGUCGGAGAGGGAAGCGGAAUUCCCAGUGUAGCGGUGAAAUGCGUAGAGAUUGGGAGGAGCACCAGUGGCGAAGGCGGCUUUCUGGACGACAACUGACGCUGAGGCGCGAAAGCGUGGGGAGCAAACAGGAUUAGAUACCCUGGUAGUCCACGCUGUAAACGAUGGAUACUAGGUGUAGGGGGUAUCGACUCCUUCUGUGCCGGAGUUAACACAAUAAGUAUCCCACCUGGGGAGUACGGCCGCAAGGCUGAA
rnacentral:rRNA from 1 species